GGUGCCUAAGCUCCAUCAAACGCCAUCCUUCGACAGCCUCCCAUUUUUUCAGCUCUAAGUGGCACACCCAUCUCCUCGCUGCACGCGCGACCUGCCUCCCCCCAUCACACUCCCAGCAGACCAAACAACCGAAGCUCAUCUGAAUCUGUAGCCCAGUGCAGCCCACCCGAACAUCAGCGACAAUGAAGUGCUGCCGCGUAUUCGUCUUCAUGCUGCUCAUGCUCUUCACAGCGUGUGCUACGUGCUCUAUUUUGUUCCCCGUGUUCCGCAAGGUAGAUGCCGGCACCGACACAACGAACACCGUAUAUUUCUGGUACCGCCAGUCAUCCACGCCGGCCAAAGAGACGCCGGACGUGGAGAUAAUCCGGACGUACUCGUAUCACCUGCAGUGCCUCCAGGGGCAGGUCUACUACACGGUGACGGCCGCGCUGUCUGUGGCCGCGACCGCCUUUAUCGCGUCUUCUGCCUUUCUCACCGCGUGCUGGAUCAACGCACGCUACAAUGACGGCCUCGCCGUCACGAGCACCUUCACGUCGUUCGUAUCACUGGCUUGCUGCGGCGCAACCUUGGGCUUGAUUGUGUGCACCUACUUGACGACGCUCUGCCCUGGCGAGAAGACGCAGAUACCGGCGGCUAAGGAAGACGGAUAUCAGCUGGCGGAAGGCUUCUACUUGCUGUGCGUCGCAACCGGUGGCGCGCUCCUCUGUUUUAUCGUUGGCUUUGCGCUCUGCUGCUCCACCCUGUGCUGCAGUAAGGAGAGCAAGGACGACGACUACGAGUGAGCGAAACAGUGAGGCGUGUGUGCGUGCAUUCCCCCUCCUCCCCCAGUACGCGUGCAGGCUUACUCGACUAUACAUCUAUUCUGUUGGUUUCUUUUUUUUUUCAUGUUUGUGGCUUCCUCACUACCUUCAUUCGUCCGCCCACCGCUGCUGCGUUCCGUUUUCGUCUACUCGCUUCUGUUUCUCUCUCCCUCUCGCGCAGUUGUUGCUUCCCUUCACCUUAGAGGGGGAGGGAAGGCGGGAGGGGGACACUCGGUGCCUCUCCCAGCACUUCGUUCGGUCCUGUGAGGCGCACUCGGCCGUUAUCCUUUUUUAUUUUCGGGUGUUUUGGGGGGAGGGGGGAGGAGAAGGAGGAAGAGGAGGGGAAGGUUCUCGUCAUGUGAUUGUGGAGGGAGACGCACACGCGUGCGAGUAUGUGAGUGGGUGGGUGUGGUCACUGCAUUUCUUGUCUCUUUCUCCCCCUCCCCUUCCCUCUCGCCAUUCCUCCAUCCCCUCUUUGGCUCGCCUUGUUUUCCUCUUCGAUUCGUUUUCACCUCCUUCCUCACUGUACUCUUUCCAUCUUUCUCCUCCCCGUCCAUUUUUGACGACACGGAGCGGCGCGCGUGGGCACCUUUCUGUGGCCCUCAACGUGCAUGCGCACCGUUUACGUACUUCUUUCCGCACCACACGCACCCCUCCGCGCACAUGCACGGGUACAUUGAGACCCGCUUGCAAGGCGGGCAUGUGGCCGCCUCUUGCAGCGCUUGUGCUUCGUGCCCCUUUCCUUAUGCACUGCUGCCAUAACGGAAGCUGUGACGCGGGCAUGUGUGCAGGCAUAUGUGGGCCCGUCUCCGCCCCCCUCUCUUCUCUCUGUGUUUGUGUGUGUGUGUGUGUGAAGGCACGCUCAUGACAGCAAGCGAUAGUGUCUCAAAUCGCUGCGCGUGAGCACUCACCUUUACCCGCUGCGCAAGCCGCUCACUUCAUUUCUGUCGCGCUGUGCCCGUGCGCAUCCUCGUUCGCUUUUUUAUCGUUUUUGUCUCCUUUCUUUCGCAUCAUCAGAGAGCUGGAGGCGGAGGCGCGCACGUCGUGUGGCGGCGGGGCAGAGCUCCAGGCUGGCCCUCCUAGGUGAGCCGUGCGCGUGUGAAGCGCUUGCAAGGGAGGGAGAGGGGGUGGGGAGAGGGAGAAUACGAAACGCUCACUUCGAUCUUGUGAGUACAGUAGCAUCAUACGUGUACUGCACUCACACCCGCCUGCACACGCCUCAGUCCACACAAAAUUCAGACAAGCAAGUGAGCGUACACAGCCAGGUCACGGUGCGUGGCGUGCGCCUCUCCCCUCCCCUCUUUUUUUUUCGGUUUGCUUCCCUGCGCUGCUGCACCGGCAGUUUGCGGUGUGCGCACCGGUGCAGCAGAAGUCCUCCUGUUUCCUCCCUUCCCCUCUCCCCGCUCUUCCUCUGUUUCGGUUUCGCUUACGCCAGCUCUUCCUUUUCAGAACGUCGUAAGUCCUUUCUUGGUAAGGUUGGCGACGCGAAUGAAAGGCGCACCGAUAGUCGAACAGCGAUAGAAAACGAUGCGGGGCCGGGAUGUGUGCGUCACGGCCCUGCCCCUGCCGCUCGAACCGACCCGCUGCAAUGAACCAUGUCUCUUCACGCCGCUUUCAUCUUCGGCUCAUUUCCGAUCUCGAGGCAUCGAGUCACUGUCAACCCUCCCCCCGCUUCCAGCACCCCUCUCUUGGAUAUCGCGACAAGAAGUCCCCCCGUACGGUGACAGACAAAGUCAAAAAAAAGGAGGGCGGGGAUGCGCGUACGCCCGCCUACUCAUGCGAGUGAUUUUAUCGAGGGUGCGAGCGGAGGGGCACCACAGACUCAUACACGCCUUCAGGGAGAAUAGACAACUCAGCAGGGAGGACGCGUUGUGAACACGAUUUUGUAUUCAUUAUGCAUAUCUUUGGGGCAUCGUUUUCUCUUCUUGGCCCCCUCCCACCUUCUCCCUCCCUCUCUUCAUCACCACCCGCUAUGGUUUUGAUGUUGAAGGCCCUUCUUGUGGAGCCCCCCGCCCUCUCCCCCACCCCCUCUUUUCCUUGUUCAGGCUUCACGCGACCCUAUGCGCCUGGAGAUUCCUCACCACACACACACACACACACCAUCUUUCUUGUUCUCUGUUACGUGCUCCUUGUUUUUCUUUCUUCCUCAUUGUCCCUGUCUUCUUCCCCACCCCUAACGAACCUCCCACCCCCUUUCCACCGAGAGCCGCGUUCGCUUUCCACCUUCACUUGUGCCGUGGGGCUGCGGUGUGGUUCGCCCGUAUUCCUUGCCCUUUAAUGGUGCCUUCUUGGCUCAUGAUGAGCCCCCUUCACUUUUUUUUUCCGGGUUCCUCAUCGCAUUCUCAUCCUGUUCGUUUCUCUGUGAUUGCCCGUGAAGGAGAGAGGAGGGGGAGGCGUGUGUGCGUGUGCGUGUGUGGGAGAUCCGUCCUCCACGUUGCGGUGAUUGCGACGGUGUCCACAGCCGCCGUCGAUCUCCCUCCCAUUCCUCUCCGUCCCUCCCUCUACCCCUCUCUGUGCAUACGUGUUGCGUAGAUUUGGUUGCUUCUUCUCUUGCCUUCGAGCAAGCGCGUCCACUU
rnacentral:misc_RNA from 1 species